rnacentral:lncRNA from 1 species
UUACAGCGCUCUGCUCUCUCUCUUUCUCUUCUGUGUGGGGGAGUAGGUACAGCUCCUCUCUCGUUCUGGGUAGUAGUUACAGCUCUCUCUCUGUUCUGGUUAGUAGUUACAGCUCUCUCUCUCUGUUAUGGGUAGUAGUACGUUACGCUCUCCUCUCUGUUCUGGGUAGUAGGUACAGCUCCCUCAUCUCUCUCUCUUUGUUCUGGGUAGUAGUUACAGCUCUCUCUCUGUUCUGGGUAGUAGGUACAGCUCUCUCUCUCCUGUUCUGGGUAGUAGUUACAAGCUCUCUCUCUCUCUGUUCUGGUAGUAGUUACAGCUCUCUCUCUCUCUCGUUCUGUGUAGGAGUGACAGCCUUCUCUCUCGCUGUUCUGGGUAGUAGUUACAGCUCUCUCUCUCUGUUCUUCUGGGUAGUAGUUACAGCUCUCCUCUCUCUCUGCUCCUCUGUUCUGGGUAGUAGUUACAGCUCUCUCUCUGUUCUGGGGUAGUAGGUACAGCCUCUCUCUCUGUUUCUGGGUAGUAGUUACAGCUGCCCUUUCCGUAC